GACGAACGCUGGCGGCGUGCUUAACACAUGCAAGUCGAGCGGUAAGGCCCUUUCGGGGGUACACGAGCGGCGAACGGGUGAGUAACACGUGGGUAACCUGCCCUCAGCUCUGGGAUAAGCCCGGGAAACUGGGUCUAAUACUGGAUAUGACUCCAUGACGCAUGUUGUGGGGUGGAAAGCCUUGUGCGGCUGAGGAUGGGCCCGCGGCCUAUCAGCUUGUUGGUGGGGUGAUGGCCUACCAGGGCGACGACGGGUAGCCGGCCUGAGGGGGCGACCGGCCACACUGGGACUGAGACACGGCCCAGACUCCUACGGGAGGCAGCAGUGGGGAAUCUUGCGCAAUGGGCGAAAGCCUGACGCAGCGACGCCGCGUGAGGGAUGA
rnacentral:rRNA from 1 species